CAGCUUGUAUGCAUUGUCAUUUAUUUUUUGAAGUACUCGAAAUGGAUCAUCUCCUCUUGGCAUUAGUUUAGACUUCCUUUGGCUACGAAAUCUUUCCUUCCUCAAGUGUAACCAAACCCAAUUACCAGGUUUAAAUACUACUUGCUUUUGGCCUUUGUUGUAUUGUUUCUCAUAUUGUAUAGUUUUCUUUUUAAUUUGUGUUCG
rnacentral:lncRNA from 1 species